UAAGGUGACUGCCGGUGACAAACCGGAGGAAGGUGGGGAUGACGUCAAAUCAUCAUGCCCCUUAUGACCUGGGCUACACACGUGCUACAAUGGAUGGUACAAAGGGCUGCAAGACCGCGAGGUUAAGCGAAUCCCAUAAAACCAUUCUCAGUUCGGAUUGCAGGCUGCAACUCGCCUGCAUGAAGCUGGAAUCGCUAGUAAUCGCGGAUCAGCAUGCCGCGGUGAAUACGUUCCCGGGCCUUGUACACACCGCCCGUCACACCACGAGAGUUUGUAACACCCGAAGUCGGUGGGGUAACCUUUGGAGCCAGC
rnacentral:rRNA from 1 species